UUGUUUCCAGCCGGCAGAAAUAGAUCGACACUCUUACUGUUUGUUUGCGAGAGGUUCGCGUGUGGAUUUUCUUGGAUCUCGGAGAUGGCUCUAUGGAGCCCAUUGGUUCAUAUGCAAGAGGUUUGCAUGUACUGUCUUUUGGAUCUUUGACAUAGCUCUAUGGAGCCCA